CACAAGCAAAUAUCAUAAGUUGUACAUUAUUUCCUGCUGCGAGCGCGGAAAUGAACUCUACUCCGUUUGGUUCUGUAGCUUUCUUUCCCUGAAUUGGAUCAACAUAACAUUAGUAACAACUUGAGGAGAAAAAAAAUAUUUGAAUUGUAUAUCAAAUUUCAGAUAUGAUAAGUUCAUAAUUGUAAUUACCAUGUCCAUGGUUUUGAGAAAAGCUUUAGUGGCAUUUUCAGCAGACCAAUAACUCAUUUUCUGUUUCUUUGUAAUUUUCUGAAAUCUACAUUCUGCUUGGGUUAGUUUGGUAAGACAUCUACAUUCUUGCUGAUAGUUUCCUGUUUCUUCCUGCUUAAAAACCUAAUAUUGUCCUGUUUCUUCCUAUUUAACAACCCAUUUUCUGUUUCUUGCAACUUAACAGUAGAACUGCAACAACUAAAAGUUGAAAUCUAGGUUGUUUCUGAUCAAUUUCUUGCAGCAAUAUUGGCAGCAAAUCUGCAUCGGUGAGCUCUCAAGUUAGCUAUUUUUUGGUUUAAGUGUUCCUAUGUUAUUUGCUAACCUAUAUUGUGUUUGCUUUUCAAAAUCUGAAAAAUAUUUGUAUAGACAUAAAUCAAGAAGGGUGCUCAAGCAAAAAUAAGAAAAUAUCUAACCGUAUUCCAGCUUGAUCACUUGCAUCUUUGUGAAAUCAAAAGGUUUCGUCGUUGACAACAAAAAGAACCUUCCAAGCUACAAGGUCAAAUGAAAAUGAAGCACGACAGUCAGAAGGUGGAUUACCUUCAUCUUUGCGAAACCAAAAGGUUAUAUAUCUUCUUCUAUUUCUUCCUCUCCUCCUUCUUUGCUUGGGAUUUUGCUUUGGUUCAAGGUAGAGUGGAUAUGGUAAUAUCUUUUUUUCUUCCUAUUGAUGUGCCUAUUUCGGUAUUAUUGGUAUCCAACUUCUAUGUGACCGACUGAGAGUCAAUGGUUGAGGCUGUAGUUGUGGUUGGGACUUGGUACUUAUAUGUCAAACUUGGUUGUCUUGUUUGGGGUUCCUGCUUUUCCGGGCAUUCUACAUUGCUAAGAAGUAUCUCUAAGGCUCAUUCUUGUAGCAAUUUUGGAUUAGUGUUGCAUUAUAUGUUUAGAAUUGUAUAGUGAUAUAGAUAUGUGUCAAAGUUUGCUGAGGACUUCACUGAUUUGGUUAGAAUGCUUUUAAUUGUAUAAAAGUGUUUAGUGAGUUAUACAAUGUACUAAUUAAAAUGUAAAAAAUAUAAAUAAUGGUAAAUCUGCAAUUUUCACACUAAUGUGAACCAUUUAAGGUUCUCCUUAAAGUCAUGACUGUUAUUCUCUUAUUGGAUAGGAAGCUAGAUGCAACAAUCCUCCAUCGACACAAGGUUGUGAAUAGAGAAAAACAACUUACAGUUUCUCCAUCUGUAACUGUAACUGCCCCACUAGCCUGCCUCCCUAUAAGACCUGUCUCAACCGUUAUCUGUAAAAAUGCAAUAAACUGAUUCAAAAGAUAUAUAGCUCAAUAGCUCAGGAAGCUUAAUGUAUUAGUUUCAAGUUGGAUCGAUCAAGAAAAUAGAAAACUCAAUAGAUUAAUAUGGAAAAUAGAUGAAUUAAGAUUUAAGAACAUAGACAACAUAAUAGCUCAAGUUAAUUAUAGAAAAUAUUGUAUAUGUUUCCCCAUUCCAACAUUUUGUUAACUUAGAUUAUGGAAACUAAAAUGAUAUCUGAAAGGUAUAUUUAUCCUACUCUAGUAAGGUUAAACCCCUCAUUACAAUAUUUAGUAAUGCUAGGUUUAAUAGAGACUAUCCAUUUAUUUUACCACUUGGUCAAUUGCCCACCAAGUCAACCUACAAAUGGAACAGAAGAAACAUUACUUAUUAUUGUCAUAUUUAGCUUCAGAAGAACCAAACUAGGAAGUAAAAUUUAACUAUCUUCCUCCAGGGCCAAACGAAUUAAAAAACAAGUAAAAUAAUGCACAUGGAAAAUAGUAGUGACGCAUUUAGAGAAGAUGCAAAAUGGUCAAGUUCUGGAUAGAUGCAAAAUGCUUCAGCUGUUGAUUCAAUCUCUGCCUU
rnacentral:lncRNA from 1 species